AAAAUUACUUUCGUGACAGAAACGUUAAGAAUUCUUGACAAUAAGAUUAAAUAAAUGGCUGACAAAAAGUUUAGCUAUAAAUAAAUAAAGAAAAGGGUAGCAGAAAUCUAUUACUAGGAAGUGCGUAUGGGACUCCUCGUGGUCAGGAAAGGAAAUCAACCAGGUCUUUUCUGCGCGAAAUGAAGGUACAGCUCGAUUUGUGCAUUUUGUUCUUUCAUACGAAAUUCAUUCACAUCUCUUUUACGGUUAUAAGAUUCAUCACACAGGAGACGGUUACGGUAAUUUCAGUGUCGCGAGACCGCGUUCAACGUACAUAUAAAAGUUGUAUGCAGCGAUUCGAUGGGUGCUGCUUGUUUCGGAAGAAAAAAUGUUUCCGAGGAUUUGUCGGUUUAUCAGAAGUCGAGCAAAUGGUUCCUUACCAUACACAUCUAUUGUGCACACGCGCAGUUUCACGUUAUAGCGGAUUUCUUUUUCUUUGGUUUCCUUUUUCUCUCUCUUUUUUUUUAGAAAAUUUCAAAAAGUUCGCCGUUAUAUCUGUGUAACAACAAUUUCAUACAGAUUUUUCUUAAUACUCAUGCAAUAUUUAUCACAGCGCCAUCGUGGUUCAUUUCAACGUAACUGAUUUUUAAAAAAGAAAAUGCACACAGAAGUCUACAUAUAACAUAAGUAUCUUAAAAUUGAAACACGAUAUUUAUUUCAAGUUUGCAUUUUAUCUAUCGAUUUUCAGAAAAUAAUGUAGAGAUAUAAAAUAAAAGAUAUGAAAAUAUUUUAUCUUACAUUUAUCGCGUUUCAAUAAAUGAAGUAUUCGGUAGGAAAUAGUUGCAGUAGAGCUUCUUGAAGCUGUCAUAGUAACACGUGCUGUACCAUAGUAAUAUGUGAUAUCGAACUGCGAAGGCGCUGUGUUCUUACCUAAUUUGCUGAUCAACCUUACUUGUGGUUAAUACGAGUCUUCACAUUGUACACGAUCAUAAAGUUUUAAAUCUAACAGCUUAGAUUAAUAAAUAUAAAACAGAUAGGAAUAAUUGUAAUUUAUAUAGGAAUUACAAUGGCGUCACUGUGGCAUUUAACGUGUCAAUAAUCUAUAUUAUCGUGUGCCGUAUGGCUAUUUCCACCGAGUCGGUCAAUAUAUUAAUAAAUUAGGAAGGGUGUGCGGAUAUAGCCAAGAUAACGGCUUCGGAACGGGUCGGAAAAAUUCGGUGGAGAUCGGGUUGUGACUCAAUUUGGAUACUAGCGUGAUUCAAUUCGAUGUAAUUUUGGCAGGACUCAAUUCGAAUUCGUCGCUUUUGAAUUUGGCGCGCUACGGUCAUUCAAGAUGGUCGCCCGAACUUUUCCGACUCCAUCCGAAACUGGGACUAAGAACCACCCUUUGUUAAAAUUUUUCUACAAAAAUAAUACAAAUUAUAGUGUACAUGAAAGUACAAUUUGCAGUAUACUUAAAGAAUGUAGAAUAUGAUCGUGUAUAGCGCGAACGACAUGUUACAUAUUCGGUUUUCCUCCCUAUCAUUGAACACGUAUUUUCUCUCUGAGGCAAAGUAUUCGUUGCUUUUCACGGUCGAGAAACUUUAGGAUACUUUGCAAGGAACACUCGCAAUCGUGGUGGCAGAUGUAAUUACAUUUGUAAUACGAGAAAUAGGCCUGUAUGUACUAUUGCUAGUAUGUUUUCGCGAUUGUGAGUAAAUUUGAUUGUUCUGUACUUUCAUAAGUCCCAUAAAGUCUGCAAAAAUAAUACAAACUAAUGAUAACUUGUAGGGUGAACCUAAGUUGUAAGAUUAGUUGUGAACUAUUUGUUACAUGAAUAAUUAUUAUUACUUGUUAUAUGAACAUUUGUUAUAUGGACAUUUGUUAUACGUCCCUGUGGGGUGUGUUUUAAAACACAGUCAGACCGAAGAUGUUAAAGAAGGAUAUCUCGGUUAUUAUUAAUUUUUGAACCUGUAUACCCCAGUACUUUUUUAUUAGGAAUUCAACACUCUUUUUAAUUACGCUAUUGAACUAUGUUACUAAUAAAAAACUCAAGGUUUCUGAUGAAAGACUAAAAUAAUAAUAAAUUGAUCUUAGUUGAAGUUUAAUACUAAAAUACCGAAAUGUUACAGAACGAACAGUAAUUAAAUUUCUGUGUGUGCUUUGGUAGCGAUGACGUGUUCGGCGACCAUCCGCAAAUGGAAUUAUGUGAUAAUUUUAGAGAGUGGCAAUUCGCUAUCCCCGAUAACGAGCGAUACAAAUAAAUUGACCUCAGAGAGAAACAGAGACAGAUAAACACGACGAGGAAGAUACAGAAAUAAAGGGGUUCCAUAUUCCAAGAACCACCUAGGAAAUUGACAUUGCGCAGAGGGAUACACCCUAACGUUCGCAUACUUUUCUGCCUUAAAUCGCGAGUAAAAAUCUAUAUAGUUGUCUUUUGACGGUCAAAGGUUUCGCCUAUCAUUAGUGUGAUUUUGAUUGUACGCUAUAAAAAUUGUGUCGCUACGAUGGCAAGUCGUACGUCAAGCGUGAAAAAGUAUUCUCUUCAUUUUUUAUUUAUGUUAAUCAUUUAUAUAAGGUAUGCUCGUGUUUUUGUUGCAUUUGUAGCAUUCGUGCAGGAAAACAUUGUCUUACAAUUUUAUUCCACUGUAUUUUAACAGCGACUCUUUCGACUCUCGUUAUAUUGCCGAAAACGGAACUCGCAGAAGGGCUGUGUUUUAUUUCAAAUUUAUAAGUGUGGGAAUUUAGGAAGUUGUGUAAUAGAAUAAUUUUGAUUUUUAAUGGAUUUAUCGAAUGUUGUACAGUGUGAUAUUUUUCUCGUCCCCGAUUAGGGUGUACAGCUUCUAUGACGAAAAUUGCGAUUCGUGCUCGGCUGUAUCUGCCACGAGCAUGCAUCUGUCGUUAAUUCGUGUGUCACAGAGCGUUUCAAAGUCGCCUCGUUACAAGGGAGCAAUAUUGGAAAGUGCUACCACGGCUAACAAAGAAAUCGAUAACCUGUAUCCUCUCAAAGUACAAAAUCCAUUAGGUCGCUUAUAAGCGUGACAAGAUGCAAUGGCACGUAUGCGAAAAAAAUUAUUAAUAAGCGAUACAUUGAUUUAGAUGUGAUACGCUGGACCUUCAUAAUAUUUCGAUCAUACGAUCAGCUUUAAUCGCUUGAUGGUCUUUUGUAAAUAGAGAUGGAAUUGAGACUU